rfam:Basidiobolus meristosporus CBS 931.73 K493scaffold_43, whole genome shotgun sequence.
GGGCAUAUGGCCAAAUGGAUAAGGUGCCUGACUAUGGAUCAGGAGAUUCCAGGUUCAAUCCCUGGUAUGCUUG